AUGGCGGCAGCAGCAGGAGCAGCUCGUCUCUCCUCUUCGUCUCAUCUCAUGGAUGAGGGCGUCGGCUCCAGAAGCUCUAGGAGUGGAAGACGUCUUCCUCCAGAAUUUGGUCGAGUUUUGGAAUUUGUCAAUGAAAUUCUACAAUCAGAUUUGGCAGUGCUAAUGAUACUGAAGUUCAUGCUACUUUGUGGGUAUAAGAAUAUGGCUGUGAACAAUAUCUAUGCAUUUCAAAGUAAGGAGAAGCUCGAGCCGCAGCAGGUCCAUGGCGCCAUCGCCGUCACAGCAGGAGGAGCGUGGGCCGCAGAGACGUCCGGAUCUGUCCAGCCCUCACGCCGCCGUCCGACCACCCUAGAGAGUUCAGAGCAAAGCAGGCCAACAUCUUUGCUGCACUGGACCGGCUCUACAUCCGUGGUGGCGGUCACGGCCUCCGCUGCCGGGUGCACGAUGAGGCGCUCGAGGGAGUAUAUGUUGUUAUAA
rnacentral:rRNA from 1 species